rnacentral:rRNA from 1 species
AGAGUUUGAUCCUGGCUCAGGAUGAACGCUGGCGGUAUNNUUAACACAUGCAAGUCGAACGGAGACUUAGGUACUUAGUGGCGGACGGGUGAGUAACGCGUGAGAAUCUGCCUUCAGGUUCGGGACAACCACUGGAAACGGUGGCUAAUACCGAAUGUGCAGCAAUGUGAAAAAUUUAUUGCCUGAAGAUGAGCUCGCGUCUGAUUAGCUAGUAGGUGUGGUAAGAGCGCACCUAGGCGACGAUCAGUAGCUGGUCUGAGAGGAUGAUCAGCCACACUGGGACUGAGACACGGCCCAGACUCCUACGGGAGGCAGCAGUGGGGAAUUUUCCGCAAUGGGCGAAAGCCUGACGGAGCAAUACCGCGUGAGGGAGGAAGGCUCUUGGGUUGUAAACCUCUUUUCUCAAGGAAGAAAAAAAUGACGGUACUUGAGGAAUAAGCAUCGGCUAACUCCGUGCCAGCAGCCGCGGUAAUACGGAGGAUGCAAGCGUUAUCCGGAAUGAUUGGGCGUAAAGCGUCCGCAGGUGGCUAUGUAAGUCUGCUGUUAAAGAGUCUGGCUCAACCAGAUAAAGGCAGUGGAAACUACAUGGCUAGAGUGCGUUCGGGGCAGAGGGAAUUCCUGGUGUAGCGGUGAAAUGCGUAGAGAUCAGGAAGAACACCGGUGGCGAAAGGCUCUGCUAGGCCGCAACUGACACUGAGGGACGAAAGCUAGGGGAGCGAAUGGGAUUAGAUACCCCAGUAGUCC